rnacentral:rRNA from 1 species
UACGAAGGACCCAAGCGUUAUCCGGAUUUAUUGGGUUUAAAGGGUGCGUAGGCGGGUUAUUAAGUCAGUGGUGAAAGCCUACAGCUUAACUGUAGAAUUGCCAUUGAUACUGAUGAUCUUGAGUAUGAUUGAGGUGGGCGGAAUGUGUCAUGUAGCGGUGAAAUGCUUAGAUAUGACACAGAACACCGAUUGCGAAGGCAGCUCACUAAGUCAUAACUGACGCUGAUGCACGAAAGCGUGGGGAGUAAACAGG